rnacentral:lncRNA from 1 species
AACUAACACUGCUUGGGUUUUUUAUUUCAGACCACCUGCGGUUGAACCUUGUUUGACGGCUUCCAUUGCAUACUCAAUUUGAUGCAUCCUGCCCUGAGGGCUCCAAACAAUGACAUCAUUGUCAUACUGGCUGUGAAACAUGGUUCCAGUAGGGGUCUGGCUGCAGCCUCCCACAGAGGAGGGGAGAGUCCUCACAACUACCUGAGAAUUCUAAUCUUACACAUCAACCUCUGCCAAAGGGAGGAGCGGUUUGGCCAUCACAGGUCAGUGUGAUGCUUACUAAUCCUCUUAUUCUGAUUCUACAAUAGUCAAGCAAAAAUGUGUGUAUUUUAAUUACAGAAUUUUUAUCAAGG